UUCCCCUAGUAGCGGCGAGCGAACCGGGAGAAGCCCAGCUUGAAAAUCGCGUCGCUUCGCGGCGCGAGUUGUAGUCUGGAGAAGCGUCCUCUGCUGCGGACUUGGCCCAAGUCCCCUGGAAAGGGGCGUCAGAGAGGGUGAGAACCCCGUCGGGCCGAGACCCUGCUGCUCCACGAGGCGCUGUCGACGAGUCGGGCUGUUUGGGAAUGCAGCCCUAAGCGGGAGGUAAAUUCCUUCCAAGGCUAAAUACGGGCGGGAGACCGAUAGCGAACAAGUACCGCGAGGGAAAGAUGAAAAGGACUUUGAAAAGAGAGUUAAAAAGUGCUUGAAAUUGCUGGGAGGGAAGCGAAUGGAGGCCUCGUGUGCGCCCCGGUCGGAUGCGGAACGGCGUGAUUGCUGGUCCGCCGCUCGACGCGGGGUGCUGGUCAGCGUGGGCUGUUGCGGCGGGAGAAAAGUCUGGCCUUCAGUGGCCGGCCGAUGCCGUCGCGGCGGCCGAGGAAUCGAAGCGCGCGUCCCUCGGGACGGGACCUUUCGGGGUCACCUGCGCGCUCGAGACGCUGGCGUAGUGGGCUUUUCAUCCGACCCGUCUUGAAACACGGACCAAGGAGUCUAACAUGCAUGCGAGCCGGUGGGCGGCAAACCCACGUGAGGCGCAAAUAACUUAACUGGUGUGAUCCUCCUCCGCGGGGUGCAACAUCGACCGACCAUGAGCUUCUGCGAAAGGUUCGAGUAAGAGCAUGCCUGUUGGGACCCGAAAGAUGGUGAACUAUGCCUGAGCAGGGCGAAGUCAGAGGAAACUCUGGUGGAGGCUCGUAGCGAUACUGACGUGCAAAUCGUUCGUCAGACUUGGGUAUAGGGGCGAAAGACUAAUCGAACCAUCUAGUAGCUGGUUCCCUCCGAAGUUUCCCUCAGGAUAGCUGGAGCACGAGGAGUUUCAUCAGGUAAAGCGAAUGAUUAGAGGCAUCGGGGGUGAAACACCCUCGACCUAUUCUCAAACUUUAAAUAGGUGAGAUCCGACGGGGUUGCUUAAUUGAACCCCCGGCGGAGAAUCCGA
rnacentral:rRNA from 1 species